rnacentral:tRNA from 1 species
GGUAAAAUGGCUGAAUUUAGGCGGUAAAUUGUAAAUUUAUUUAUGGAAAAUUCCUUUUGCUA